rnacentral:rRNA from 1 species
AGGGGGGGGCUAUACAUGCAGUAGAACGCUGAAGAGAGGAGCUUGCUCUUCUUGGAUGAGUUGCGAACGGGUGAGUAACGCGUAGGUAACCUGCCUUGUAGCGGGGGAUAACUAUUGGAAACGAUAGCUAAUACCGCAUAACAAUGGAUGACACAUGUCAUUUAUUUGAAAGGGGCAAUUGCUCCACUACAAGAUGGACCUGCGUUGUAUUAGCUAGUAGGUGAGGUAACGGCUCACCUAGGCGACGAUACAUAGCCGACCUGAGAGGGUGAUCGGCCACACUGGGACUGAGACACGGCCCAGACUCCUACGGGAGGCAGCAGUAGGGAAUCUUCGGCAAUGGGGGCAACCCUGACCGAGCAACGCCGCGUGAGUGAAGAAGGUUUUCGGAUCGUAAAGCUCUGUUGUAAGUCAAGAACGAGUGUGAGAGUGGAAAGUUCACACUGUGACGGUAGCUUACCAGAAAGGGACGGCUAACUACGUGCCAGCAGCCGCGGUAAUACGUAGGUCCCGAGCGUUGUCCGGAUUUAUUGGGCGUAAAGCGAGCGCAGGCGGUUUGAUAAGUCUGAAGUUAAAGGCUGUGGCUCAACCAUAGUUCGCUUUGGAAACUGUCAAACUUGAGUGCAGAAGGGGAGAGUGGAAUUCCAUGUGUAGCGGUGAAAUGCGUAGAUAUAUGGAGGAACACCGGUGGCGAAAGCGGCUCUCUGGUCUGUAACUGACGCUGAGGCUCGAAAGCGUGGGGAGCGAACAGGAUUAGAUACCCUGGUAGUCCACGCCGUAAACGAUGAGUGCUAGGUGUUGGAUCCUUUCCGGGAUUCAGUGCCGCAGCUAACGCAUUAAGCACUCCGCCUGGGGAGUACGACCGCAAGGUUGAAACUCAAAGGAAUUGACGGGGGCCCGCACAAGCGGUGGAGCAUGUGGUUUAAUUCGAAGCAACGCGAAGAACCUUACCAGGUCUUGACAUCCCGAUGCUAUUUCUAGAGAUAGAAAGUUACUUCGGUACAUCGGUGACAGGUGGUGCAUGGUUGUCGUCAGCUCGUGUCGUGAGAUGUUGGGUUAAGUCCCGCAACGAGCGCAACCCCUAUUGUUAGUUGCCAUCAUUCAGUUGGGCACUCUAGCGAGACUGCCGGUAAUAAACCGGAGGAAGGUGGGGAUGACGUCAAAUCAUCAUGCCCCUUAUGACCUGGGCUACACACGUGCUACAAUGGUUGGUACAACGAGUUGCGAGUCGGUGACGGCAAGCUAAUCUCUUAAAGCCAAUCUCAGUUCGGAUUGUAGGCUGCAACUCGCCUACAUGAAGUCGGAAUCGCUAGUAAUCGCGGAUCAGCACGCCGCGGUGAAUACGUUCCCGGGCCUUGUACACACCGCCCGUCACACCACGAGAGUUUGUAACACCCGAAGUCGGUGAGGUAACCUUUUGGAGCCAGCCGCUAAGGUGAAUAAGG